rnacentral:rRNA from 1 species
AAUAGAUACCCUGGUAGUCCACCCCGUAAACGUUGGGAACUAGUUGUGGGGUCCUUUCCACGGAUUCCGUGACGCAGCUAACGCAUUAAGUUCCCCGCCUGGGGAGUACGGCCGCAAGGCUAAAACUCAAAGGAAUUGACGGGGACCCGCACAAGCGGCGGAGCAUGCGGAUUAAUUCGAUGCAACGCGAAGAACCUUACCAAGGCUUGACAUACACCAGAACACCCUAGAAAUAGGGGACUCUUUGGACACUGGUGAACAGGUGGUGCAUGGUUGUCGUCAGCUCGUGUCGUGAGAUGUUGGGUUAAGUCCCGCAACGAGCGCAACCCUCGUUCUAUGUUGCCAGCACAUAAUGGUGGGAACUCAUGGGAUACUGCCGGGGUCAACUCGGAGGAAGGUGGGGAUGACGUCAAAUCAUCAUGCCCCUUAUGUCUUGGGCUUCACGCAUGCUACAAUGGCCGGUACAAAGGGCUGCAAUACCGUGAGGUGGAGCGAAUCCCAAAAAGCCGGUCCCAGUUCGGAUUGAGGUCUGCAACUCGACCUC